AUGAACAGCUGAUGAACACUUGUUAGGUUCUAAAAACAAGAUUAAAACAAUCGUUUGUAGUUUGUGAAGGAUUCAAGUUUUGGCGCUCAAAAUAGAUGGAAGUAAUCACUAACUCCAAAGAAUAGCCUGAAGGUACAUAUAAUUUGUGGAGGAUUGUCCAGUUAUAUGGGAAAUGGCGGAAGAAUUGCCAUUAACGUCUCUGGUUUUCACCUUUUUUUGUUUACAUGCAUUGCCGAGGAAAUCGAAAAACUGGAUCACACUGGAAGGUUUCAAUUUUUUAGCAUGGCAAACAUGUUUUUCAAUCAGCGUACCAGGAACUUAAAUUGAACAUACAUAUGUAGAUGGUGGACAAAUUUUGUCGGCGCUGUUUUGCAAUAUGGUACUAAAAAAAACUAAGGAUGUCUCACGAAAAGGACUGAAAUUCUAUCCAGAUUGGUACUUACUCAGUUAGCUCCUUGAUCUGCACUGCAAUCUUUCGUCU